UGCCGCGUGUGUGAAGAAGGCCUUCGGGUUGUAAAGCACUUUUGUCCGGAAAGAAAUGGCUCUGGUUAAUACCUGGGGUCGAUGACGGUACCGGAAGAAUAAGGACCGGCUAACUACGUGCCAGCAGCCGCGGUAAUACGUAGGGUCCAAGCGUUAAUCGGAAUUACUGGGCGUAAAGCGUGCGCAGGCGGUUGUGCAAGACCGAUGUGAAAUCCCCGAGCUUAACUUGGGAAUUGCAUUGGUGACUGCACGGCUAGAGUGUGUCAGAGGGGGGUAGAAUUCCACGUGUAGCAGUGAAAUGCGUAGAGAUGUGGAGGAAUACCGAUGGCGAAGGCAGCCCCCUGGGAUAACACUGACGCUCAUGCACGAAAGCGUGGGGAGCAAACAGGAUUAGAUACCCUGGUAGUCCACGCCCUAAACGAUGUCAACUAGUUGUUGGGGAUUCAUUUCCUUAGUAACGUAGCUAACGCGUGAAGUUGACCGCCUGGGGAGUACGGUCGCAAGAUUAAAACUCAAAGGAAUUGACGGGGACCCGCACAAGCGGUGGAUGAUGUGGAUUAAUUCGAUGCAACGCGAAAAACCUUACCUACCCUUGACAUGCCACUAACGAAGCAGAGA
rnacentral:rRNA from 12 species